rnacentral:rRNA from 1 species
UACGAAGGGGGGCUAGCGUUGCUCGGAAUUACUGGGCGUAAAGGGCGCGUAGGCGGAUAGUUUAGUCAGAGGUAAAAGCCCAGGGCUCAACCUUGGAACUGCCUUUGAUACUGAGGAUCUUGAGUUCGGGAGAGGUGAGUGGAACUGCGAGUGUAGAGGUGAAAUUCGUAGAUAUUCGCAAGAACACCAGUGGCGAAGGCGGCUCACUGGCCCGAUACUGACGCUGAGGCACGAAAGCGUGGGGAGCAAACAGG